AUCCAGCUGAUGAGUCUCAAAUAGGACGAAACGCACGUCAAACUGGAU
rnacentral:hammerhead_ribozyme from 1 species